rnacentral:rRNA from 1 species
UACGUAGGGUGCAAGCGUUGUCCGGAAUUAUUGGGCGUAAAGAGCUCGUAGGCGGUUUGUUGCGUCGGCUGUGAAAUCCCGAGGCUCAACCUCGGGUCUGCAGUCGAUACGAGCAAACUAGAGUGUUGCAGGGGAGACUGGAAUUCCUGGUGUAGCGGUGAAAUGCGCAGAUAUCAGGGGGGAACACCGGUGGCGAAGGCGGGUCUCUGGGCAACAACUGACGCUGAGGAGCGAAAGCGUGGGGAGCGAACAGG